UACAGAGGUGGCAAGCGUUGUUCGGAAUUACUGGGCGUAAAGGGCGCGUAGGCGGUCUUCUAAGUCUUGUGUGAAAUCCCUCGGCUCAACUGAGGAACUGCACGGGAUACUGGAAGACUUGAGUUCGGGAGAGGGAAGCGGAAUUCCGGGUGUAGCGGUGAAAUGCGUAGAUAUCUGGAGGAAUACCGGUGGCGAAGGCGGCAUCCUGGACCGAGAUUGACGCUGAACGGCGAAAGCUAGGGGAGCAAACGGG
rnacentral:rRNA from 1 species